UUUUUUUUUUCUUUCUCUUUUUCAGAGCUAGGCAAGCGCUUUACCACUGAGCUAAAUCCCCAACCUCCCCAACCCUCUUCUAACCUUUUAUUUUGACACAGUGUUUCACUAAAUUGCCCAGAUGGCCUCUUAGUCACUCUGUAGCCCAGGCAAGCCGUGCACUGUGAUCUUCCUGCUUGACUUCCCAUGUGGCUGAGACCACAGGUCUGCACCACUAGGCUUGACAUUGAUUUGGACUUUAAUCCCCCAUGUGGCUUAGAGCUAGAACGAUCACACUUAGUGUAGUCCUGUCUCAUGCCAAGUCGAAUUCUGAACACGUUAUCUGUUAGCGUUAAGACCUUCCCUGGGGGAGGGCACCAUUGUUUAGUUUAUUCUACAGAUGAGCAAACUGAGGCAUGGAACAGUGCAUUUAAAUAACUCGUCCUGGGACAAACCUGUGCUAUCACCAACUUGUUUAUCCCAUGGCCUCGGCUCCAGGAGCACCUCACUGGUAAAGGACGGUCACCCAGUGUGAAGUAGCGUGUGGGCGCUCAUCUCUUGGUGGCCAGGAAGUUGAGAGGAAGGGGGUGACAGAGACAAGAUAUACCCUUCAGAAGCAUACACCCAUGCACGCACACCCACCUCCUCUGGUCUGGCCCCAUCUACUAAUAACCCAUUCAGCAUUAACUCAUCAAUGCAUGAAGCCACUGGCGAGUUUAAAACCUGGAUGUUCCAAUCCUCUUUCAAUAGCUCAGCAGCUGGGACCAAGGCCUUCCACACAUCAGCCUUGUGAGUGGAAACCUCAUAUCUGAAUAUUUAAGAGGUGAGCUGUUCUUGCAGGUGCGCUGGGGAUGGGAGGGGUGGUAGGGAUUCUGCGGAACACUUGGCUUCCCAUUCACUGAUCAGUUCCUCUGGGCUGAGAGCUUCACAGCCUCAUCAGUACCAAUGGAGGUACCUACGGUUUCCCGUUCCCAGACAAAGCAAUGCUAUGUUUCAGAAGUUGUGCAGCUAGAACUGGAGCCCAGACGGUCGUAUUUUGCUACCCACAGUGGAACUGGAGCAAGCCUCCCCUCUUUGCCCCUCCUCCCGCUCCCAUUCCACUCCAGGGCUUAACACAGCAAGAGCUCAGUAAACAGCCAGAAGUACCAUACACACAGCACACAGCAAGAGCUCAGUAAACAGCCAGAAGUACCAUCACAGGUUAGGACGCGUCGGGUCUGCCCUGACCUCCACACACACUCUGGGCUGCAGAAUGUGUGGAGCCAACGGACGCUUAACAUUCCCUUCUUUCAAACAAAAGGCCUGGGGAAGGAGACCACCUGCACACACCCAGAACUAUGCUCCCCAGGUAAACACUCCCAGGCUGUGCUGAACAAUUCAUUUGUCAAGGAUUCAGGGGACCAAGGUGACAACCACAACACACACAGGAGCAAACAUAGGUGGAGGAGUUGACAGAGCUGCCUCACCUCACCCAAGAACGCCCUCCUAGGUUACUAGGCAACGUGAAAGCGACGCCCCCACCGACUCCAGUGUCCGCACAUUCCUGCCUCCCUUCCCUAAGUAGAUCAUGCUGGAAUCAGCCACUUCAGUGUGGUUCCCUGCCCCAGCCUGCAAGGCAGUCAGCGGAGGUUGGGGACCACCUAGGAGAGAAUGGGGGACAAGAGACGCGAAGAAGGACGCCAAGUCAAGAGUCUGAUCAAGGUCGUGCCACUGCUGUUACUAACCUGACUCUACUGAACUGGACUGCUGGUGUAUCUGUGAGGUGUUUGCUAGUGGAUCGAACUGCCGCUUCCUGCGAACCUGUAAACUGAAACUGCUGAUUUCCAGACACCACAGAUGGGAGUUUCUCCAAAGAACCUUUCUAAACAGGUGGUGACUGGGCAAAGACUGUGGGGACAAGACAAUCCGGUGAGAACAAGCUACCGAGAGACAGAAUCUGGAGUGGGGUCAGACUGCCUUUUCCUGCCACUCUGGGCAGCCUCAAACAUCUGGGGGCUGGUGAGCUUGGCCUCCUGGACCUCCAUCUGUGAGGUAAAAUCAUCCUUAAUGAGGCAAACAGACUUCAUUUGGGUCCCUGUGAGCAGAGGCACGUCUGGCCCAGCACUGCCCCCUUGUGGAGGAGGAAGGUAGAGAUCACAAGGCCGGGAGCAAGCACAUCUCAGUUCCUGGUUGACCUGGCUGCAUUUUUUUUUUUUUUAUGGAACUAAAGAGCCUGUUCCCUUCCACCUUGCACAGGCCAGAGGGACUCAAGUCCGUGGUGUUUGGCUGUUGUUUUUCAUGGUACUGGGAUUGAACCUAGGGCCCUGUACAUGCUGAGCAAACGCUCUGACACCAGGCUGUGUCCCUUACCCAACUCCUCAAGUUCACAUCUUGCCUUGUUUGUUUGUUUUUGUUUGUUUGCUUUUCUAGACAGUGUUUCUCUGUCCUGGCACCCACUCUGUGUACCGUGCUGGCUCAGACGCACAAAGACUCACCUGAUUCUGCCUCUUUUUUUUUUUUUUUUUUUUUUUUUUCGGAGCUGAGGACUGAACCCAGGGCCUUGCGCUUGCUAGGCAAGCGCUCUACCACUGAGCCAAAUCCCCAACCCCCUGAUUCUGCCUCUUAAGUUGUGCUUUCUUCACUUAUGCUGUGUCUCAGGACAAGCCUGAAUCUCCUCAGCUAUAACUGGACUUAAGGUUUUCUGCCAUACACAGGAGUAGGCAGAGAGCAAAUUCGGAAUAAGCUAGCCUUUCUCUAGGCCAUGGAAUCCCUUGCUUUGUCCCACACUGAAGCUCCACCUCACAGUCCUUGACAGAGGCCCGCUGUCUCCUCUCAGGAAGCAACAAGGACACAGGGGACAGCUGACUUGUACCCACACCAUUAGACACCUGCCAUUAGACACCCCUUUUUUCAAGGUGCUAAGCCUCCAUGUCCUGGCCUAUAAAAUGGGACUUCAUCAUCUGUAUCUGCUUCAGGGUGGCACGCAAGGAGCUGUGCAGAUUGUGGAGGGGUGAGUGGAGAACAUAGCAGAAAACCUGCUCUGAACACAGUGACUCUGUUGUGUGCCUUUCAAAUUCAUGAGCUUGUCUGGGUGGGGAUCUGGGGGUGGAUGGGCAUAGAAGGCUGUUUUCAACUGUCACCAAAAGGACCCUAUAAAUAAUGCCAGUGGCUCUGAAGACUUCCACAAGGAGGUGACCUGGGAAGAGAAGGCCUUGCCUUGUCUGCACUCCCUGAAUUGAGGAGGCCUCAAGAUCCCCAGCACCUUAUGUGAAGAACUUAGAUCUACAACCCCCUGUCGAAAUGCCACCCCACCCAGGACAAACCAUACUCUUACAGCCAUUUCAUAGCUUCCAUCGAAGUACAAUUUAUUGUCAACUAUUAACAUGAUCUGAUGAACAAGUCAUGUUCUCCUGACUCCCCUUUGGGCCCAAACACCCUAUGGCCACUCAUAUCCCAUUCCUCAGCCCAGAGGAGUGUCCCCAUCAGGUCCUUCCAUGGUCAGUUCCUUGAGCCAAAGCUCAUUUUCUGGGUGUGCCCUGCAGAUUUGGUCCCCCACCCCCACAAAGACACCAGAAGACAGCGUGCACAAUCAACUUCUGGUUAUCAAGGUUUCCUCUGCCUCCCUCCAUGUGAGCCAGGCUCCUGUUGGCAGAGGUGGAUCAGCCUAGGGUGCUUACUGUGCCCAGGGCCUGCAAUGCCAGGUGCUGGACCGACGUUCAAUGAACGCUGGAGAAUGAAUGACCAAUGAAGACAUAAACUUUUUCUUUUUCUAAAAAAGAAUCAAAGAAUCAGGUUUUUUGUUUUUGUUUGUUUGUUUGUUUGUUGGCUGGGGAUGUAGCUCACAAGCAGAGGACUUAUGCAAGGACCAAGUUCUAACAAUAGAAACACACACACACA